rnacentral:lncRNA from 1 species
GUAACGAGCAAUUGGUAAAAUAAAUUUGUCGUAAUCUUUUACGGUUGCGAAGGAGUAGUGGCCACAAGAAAAACAGUGUUUGGGGAGAUAACUCUUACAACGUAAAGUAUUUUGUUACGCGGUUGUAAAUUUUUAAAGCGUAUAAACUAUACGAUAUCAUAUUUCAAAUAUCUAAGCGACAUCUUAUGAAACAUCAAUACUACGCAAGAAAAAAAUUUAGGCGGAGAAAAAAGAAAAAUAAUAAUAAUCAGAACAAAUUCAAUAGGUCUUUCCACGGAAAAGUGGAAAGACCUAAUAAUAAUUAAAAACCAAUUGUUCAGAGAACAAUUGAAGGUCUUUCCACUAGUAAAGAUCUAUUUUGAUAUUGAAAUAUGAAAAAUCAGUUUAAAAUGUUAGUUCCUAUGGCUUUAUGAUGUAUUUAUAUGAAUUUAAAGCAAAGGUCAAAAUCUAGAACGUCUUAUUAACCUAUGACCUUGACCUCAAUUUCAAGGUCAUAAACCAAGGACCUUAAAUCAAAAGACCCUAGGUCUGUAAUAUGUAUGGUUAAUGAGUUAUAUCACUUUAGACAUGAUUUUAAAUAUAAGAUGGGCGAAAACUCUCAUUUAUUGUCUACGCACCCUUCCAACCAAAAUUUAUAAGUUACAGGACAUGUCGCAACUAACAAUUUAGUAAAAAUAAAUUUGUCGAUAUCUUUAACGGUUGUUGAAAAAUAAGUGAAAAUAAGCCAAAAUCAAAAUUUAGAAUAUGACCUUGACCUUUGACCUUGACCUUAUUUUCAUUUUUUUUUGGACCAAGGAAGACCUCAAAUCUAAAGACCCUAGGUCUAUUAUCACUUAUGGUUUACCAGUUAGAAACGCAUAUCACUUAUAUCAAAUGCAUAAGGGGAAAUAACUCUCAUAUGGAGUCUCCGGAUAGCUUCGGUCCAAAUGAAUAUCCUAAUCCUGAAGAUGUAACGAGAGCAAUUUGGUAAAAUAAAUUUGUCGUAAUCUUUUACGGUUGCGAAGGAGUAGUGGCCACAAGAAAAACAGUGUUUGGGGAGAUAACUCUUACAACGUAAAGUAUUUUGUUACGCAGUUGUAAAUUUUUAAAGCGUAUAAACUAUACGAUAUCAUAUUCCAAAUAUCUAAGCGACAUCUUUUGAAACAUCAAUACUACGCAAGAAAAAAUUUAGGCGGAAAAGAAAAAAAAAAUAAUAAUAAUUAAAAACCAAUUGUUCAAAGAACAAUUGAAGGUCUUUCCACAAGUAAAGAUCUAUUUUAUUAUCAAAAUAUUAAAAAUCAAUCUAAAAUGUCAGUUCCUAUGACUUUAUAAUGUAUAAAUAUGAAUUUAAAGCAAAGGUCAAAAUCUAGAACGUCCUAUUAACCUUUGACCUUGACCUCAAUUUCAAGGUCACCAACCAAGAACCUCAAAUAAAAAGACCCUAGGUCUGUAAUAUGUAUGGUUAAUGAGUUAUAUCACUUUAGGCAUGAUUUUAAAUAUAAGAUGGGCGAAAACUCUCAUUUAUUGUUUACGCACCCUUCCAACCAAAAUUUAUAAGUUACAACAUGUCGCAACUCACAAUUUAGUAAAAAUAAUUUGUCAAUAUCUUUUAAGGUUUUUGAAAAUAAGGGAAAAUAAGCCAAAAUCAAAAUUUAGAAUAUGACCUUGACCUUUGACCUUGACCUUAUUUUCAUUUUUUUGGACCAAGGACUCAAAUCAAAGACCCUAGGUCUCUAUCACUUAUGGUUUACCAUUUAGAAAUGCAUAUCACUUAUAUUUCAAAUGCAUAAGGGGAAUAACUCUCAUAUGGAGUCUCCGAAAGCUUCGGUCCAAAAUGAAUAUCCUAAUCCUGAAGAAGUAACGAGCAAUUUGGUAAAAUAAAUUUGUCGUAAUCUUUUACGGUUGCGAAGGAGUAGUGGCCACAAGAAAAACAGUGUUUGGGGAGAUAACUCUUACAACGUAAAGUAUUUUGUUACGCAGUUGUCAUUUUUUAAAGCGUAUAAACUAUACGAUAUCAUAUUCCAAAUAUCUAAGCGACAUCUUUUGAAACAACAAAUACUACGCAAGAAAAAAAUUAGGCGGAAGAAGAAAAAAUAAUAAUCAGAACAAAUUCAAAUAGGUCUUUCCACGGAAAAUGGAAAAUAAUAAUAAUUAAAAACCAAUUGUUCAGAGAACAAUUGAAGGUCUUUCCACUAGUAAAGAUCUAUUUUGAUAUUGAAAUAUGAAAAAUCAGUUUAAAAUGUUAGUUCCUAUGGCUUUAUGAUGUAUUAAUAUGAAUUUAAAGCAAAGGUCAAAAUCUAGAACGUCGUUUUAACCUAUGACCUUGACCUCAAUUUCAAGGUCACAAACCAAGGACCUUAAAUCAAAAGAC